AGCGAACGCUGGCGGUAGGCCUAACACAUGCAAGUCGAACGGCACCACCGGGUGUGCUUGCUCUUGCGGGCGGAGCGCGGCGGAAGCUUGCGGUAUACUCCGGAUUCUUCUCCUUCGUGGGGGCUAAUGUCGGGUAACUUCCGCUGACACCGCAUACGUCCUCCGUGUGUAAGCACGCGUUCUUAGAACUUUGCGCGAUUGUAUGAGCCGACGUCGGAUUAGCUAGUUGGCAGGGUAAAGGCACACCAAGGCGACGCUCCGUAGCUGGGCUGAGAGGAUGAUCAGCCACACUGGGACUGAGACACGGCCCAGACUCCUACGGGAGGCAGCAGUGGGGAAUAUUGGACAAUGGGCGAAAGGCUGAUCCAGCAAUGCCGCGUGAGUGAUGAAGGCCGUAGAGUUGUAAAGCUCUUUUAACCGGGAUGAUAAUGACAGUACCGGGAGAAUAAGCUCCGGCUAACUCCGUG
rnacentral:rRNA from 1 species